CCUACGGGAGACAGCAGUGGGGAAUAUUGCGCAAUGGGCGAAAGCCUGACGCAGCGACGCCGCGUGAGGGAUGAAGGUCUUCGGAUCGUAAACCUCUGUCAGCAGGGAAGAACGGUCACUGUGCUAAUCAGCAGUGAAUUGACGGUACCUGCAAAGGAAGCACCGGCUAACUCCGUGCCAGCAGCCGCGGUAAUACGGAGGGUGCGAGCGUUAAUCGGAAUUACUGGGCGUAAAGCGCUCGUAGGCGGUAUGUCAAGUCAAGGGUGAAAUCCCCGCGCUCAACGUGGGAACUGCCUUUGAAACUGGCAAACUGGAGUGUGUGAGAGGAUAGUGGAAUUCCAGGUGUAGGAGUGAAAUGCGUAGAUAUCUGGAGGAACAUCAGUGGCGAAGGCGACUAUCUGGCACAUAACUGACGCUGAGGAGCGAAAGCGUGGGUAGCAAACAGGAUUAGAUACCCGAGUAGUC
rnacentral:rRNA from 1 species